UCUUGUUGGUCAGCAGAAUCGCGCUCGCAGGUCGCGGCAUCGUAAUUUGCUUUUUGCACUGACAGUUUUCUUAUCUGAGAUCAGGUCGUGGGGUUGGGAGCUAGCCCCACUACCCAGCCUUUUCCUCGUUGGAACCUCCUUUUCCUCUUGGGAUUGGUUGGGGAAUCGGAAUCUGCCUCGGCGAGCGGUUGCGCGUCCGGCGGCGAGAGGUGAGCGGGGCUCGGUGACCAAGCAAACGGCGGGUGGGCUCUGCACUCACCGUGUCCUUGAUAGCGUCGUCGUCGACGGGGGAAAUCAGCAGCCUCGUGGUCUUUCGUCCGAAGCGGCAGCAAUGGCGGCGUGGUGUGAUUCGCUUCAACAGAAUUGACUCCCGUUUGAGCGGAAGGGGACGAGCGACUGUUGGAUGCCGGCAACUAGUGACUUCAGCUGCCUCACCCUCAGAUUUGGUGCGUACUGUAGGAUACCCUUACAAGGUUUCAUGUCAUUUCAGGGCAAUGUCGCCAUGGCGGCUGGUGGCGUUAGCUGCCUGGUCAGGCAGCGCAGCGGGUGGUGGCUGAGGGUGGCAUCGACAUCAGCAGAGCUGGUGGUGGCUGCAGGAUGCAUGGUGGUGAGCAGCAGGCCCCCUUAGCUGUAUCGUGGGUCGAUUCAGGCGAGCGGAGAACGUCGGUGGGCUUCGACGUAAGAUGAAGAUGAAUCAGCAUAGCUCUCCUCCGUCAUCUUGAAUGAUUUGAAUGAAAUGGGCCUUUACCUGAUUCUUGGAGAAGUUUAGACCCAUGAAAAUCCAUAUCUAAAAACUUGAUUUGAAGCGCCCCUUGUGCAUACUCUCCCUAAAACAAAUUGCACUUCUGUAUAUAGCUGAAUAUCUUUAUUCUUGUGUCUUGUCCAUGUAAUGUACUUGCUUAUGAAUGCUUCCUUCUAUUGGCGUCAUCUACCAGAUCAUAUCUGGAAUUGUUGUAAUGCAAGAAUGAUCCAUGUCACCUACGUGACAUUUUGUAAUUCACAUUUUUUAUGUCCCAUUGUAUACCAUAUUUAUUAUGGUGUGAUGUUGAUUUGGGCGACAACGUAAUUUCUUUAUAAGAAAUAACCGAUGUAAUUGGAAGUCUUACUUCCCA